ensembl:lncRNA
AAUACCGUUAGCAGAAAAUGCCAUCAGUGAGCAGCCAACAAGAGCACUAAAUAUGAAUGAAAAUAAACAACAAAUGAACAUGGCUGCUGGUUGAUUACAGGAAGUAAAAGACAAUCUGGAUCUGAAUAAGCUGCAGCGUAUAUAUGAGUGAGUGAUUAGCUGAUUGAGCACAGCUGUGUCAUAUAAUUGACAGGAAACGGAACAAAGGGCAGAAGUAUGAUGAACUAAAGCGCACGACGAACAACAUUUACAAAGUAGAACAGACAGUGACAGAAGAAGAGAGUCAGAGCCAUGACUCCUGACAAUGAAUAAAGUCUCUUCUUAUCUCAUUUUAUCAGCUGGCAGAGGUUUGCAGAAGCUCCUCUUCUUUGAUUGCCAGACCACAGAUUUAAAAACCUCAGGUCACUGAGUCUACAGAAAAGAUUAUUUAAAAGACUGGCUCCUCCCCCAACGGCAACAACGGGAACCCCCGUCUGGGCAGAGACGAACUCCAGCAUCGGGGCCAGAGGGGCGCGGUUCGGCGGUGGCGGUCUCUCUUCCUCAAACACUAAACCCUGGAAGUAAAACAAAGUGGUGUUGUGGCCAGCAGCUCACACAGCUGCAGCAGCAGGGUCCCGGGACUGCUCUCAUUCACAGCCAGGUAGAUGACGUUGGCCUGACCCGAGGGCGUCAUCACCGUCUCCCCCACGAGCGCGGCCAGCGACAGGUGUGACGAGGAGGAAAACGAAGCCAUCUCGGCCACUUCAGCUAAUGAAGCUGUCUCUGUUACUCCCCUUCCUCCCCCUCCUCCCCCUCCUCCCGGACCGUUUCCCAGACCGGGCCCCGGCUCCCCGACCCC